rnacentral:rRNA from 1 species
AGUGAACGCUGGCGGUAGGCCUAACACAUGCAAGUCGAACGGCAGCACAGUAAGAGCUUGCUCUUACGGGUGGCGAGUGGCGGACGGGUGAGGAAUACAUCGGAAUCUACUUUUUCGUGGGGGAUAACGUAGGGAAACUUACGCUAAUACCGCAUACGACCUACGGGUGAAAGCAGGGGAUCUUCGGACCUUGCGCGAUUGAAUGAGCCGAUGUCGGAUUAGCUAGUUGGCGGGGUAAAGGCCCACCAAGGCGACGAUCCGUAGCUGGUCUGAGAGGAUGAUCAGCCACACUGGAGCUUAGACACGGUCCAGACUCCUACGGGAGGCAGCAGUGGGGAAUAUUGGACAAUGGGCGCAAGCCUGAUCCAGCCAUACCGAGUGGGUGAAGAAGGCCUUCGGGUUGUAAAGCCCUUUUGUUGGGAAAGAAAAGCAGCAGGUUAAUACCCCGCUGUUCUGACGGUACCCAAAGAAUAAGCACCGGCUAACUUCGUG